rnacentral:rRNA from 1 species
ACAAUGUAGAGUUUGAUCCUGGCUCAGGAUGAACGCUAGCUACAGGCUUAACACAUGCAAGUCGAGGGGCAGCAUGUCG